CAUAAGGUAGCACCCCUCUAAGCCCUAAAAUAGGUUUCUACUAAAUAAAUCAAUGGAUACCAAAGGUAAUAAAAAUGAUGUCUAAAGCUUAACAAGAUGCUAUUCAUAUUGAAGCAAUCACGCCAAAUAAACCAAUCACACAAAGAAAAGGAUAGGAGUAUACCUAAGCCGCAAUCCCAAGCACUUUCACGAAAACACUAAAGUUAGUUUAACAAAUAAUGCAACAUGCAAGAGACCAAGCUAUGAUCAAAGCAUAGGAAAGCAUAACCAAGCACAAAUC
rnacentral:lncRNA from 1 species